CCCCACACAUGUGCCCCACACAUGUGCCCCAGAGAUGUGCCCCACAGAUGAUGUGCCCCAUAGAUGUGCCCCACACACAAUGUGCCCCAUAGAUGUGCCCCAUAGAUGUGCCCCACAGAUUAUGUGCCCCAUCGAUGUGCCCAACACACGUGCCCCACACAUGUGCCCCACACAUGUGCCCCACAGAUGAUGUGCCCCAUAUAUGUACCCCACACAUGUGCCCCACACAUGUGCCCCACACAUGUGCCCCAGAGAUGAUGUGCCCCAUAGAUACACCCCACACAUGUGCCCCAGAGAUGUGCCCCAGAGAUGUGCCCCACACACAAUGUGACCCAUA
rnacentral:lncRNA from 1 species